rnacentral:tRNA from 1 species
AGGCACGUAGCUCAGGGGGAGAGCGCUACCUUGACGCGGUAGAAGUCGACGGUUCGAAACCGUCCGUGCCUA